UACGGGGGGAGCAAGCGUUGUUCGGAUUUACUGGGCGUAAAGGGCGCGUAGGCGGCGCAACAAGUCACUUGUGAAAUCUCCGGGCUUAACCCGGAGCGGCCAAGUGAUACUGUCGUGCUAGAGUGCGGAAGGGGCUACUGGAAUUCUCGGUGUAGCGGUGAAAUGCGUUAGAUAUCGAGAGGAACACCUGCGGCGAAGGCGGGUAGCUGGGCCGACACUGACGUGAGGCGCGAAAGCCAGGGGAGCGAACGGG
rnacentral:rRNA from 1 species